rnacentral:rRNA from 1 species
AGUGAACGCUGGCGGUAGGCCUAACACAUGCAAGUCGAACGGCAGCACAGUAAGAGCUUGCUCUUACGGGUGGCGAGUGGCGGACGGGUGAGGAAUAUAUCGGAAUCUACUUUUUCGUGGGGGAUAACGUAGGGAAACUUACGCUAAUACCGCAUACGACCUACGGGUGAAAGCAGGGGAUCUUCGGACCUUGCGCGAUUGAAUGAGCCGAUGUCGGAUUAGCUAGUUGGCGGGGUAAAGGCCCACCAAGGCGACGAUCCGUAGCCGGUCUGAGAGGAUGAUCGGCCACACUGGAACUUAGACACGGUCCAGACUCCUACGGGAGGCAGCAGUGGGGAAUAUUGGACAAUGGGCGCAAGCCUGAUCCAGCCAUACCGCGUGGGUGAAGAAGGCCUUCGGGUUGUAAAGCCCUUUUGUUGGGAAAGAAAAGCAGCAGGUUAAUACCCCGCUGUUCUGACGGUACCCAAAGAAUAAGCACCGGCUAACUUCGUG